rnacentral:rRNA from 1 species
AACACGUAGGUAACCUGCCCAUGUGCCCGGGAUAACUUCUGGAAACGGAUGCUAAAACCGGAUAGGUAAGCAGACAAGCAUUUGACUGCUAUUAAAGUGGCUAAGGCCAUGAACAUGGAUGGACCUGCGGUGCAUUAGCUAGUUGGUGAGGUAACGGCCCACCAAGGCGACGAUGCAUAGCCGGCCUGGAGAGGGCGGACGGCCACCAUUGGGACUGAGACACGGCCCAAACUCCUACGGGAGGCAGCAUG